GACAGAGGGUGCAAACGUUGUUCGGAAUUACUGGGCGUAAAGCGCGUGUAGGCGGCUAAGUAAGUCGGGCGUGAAAUCCCACGGCUCAACCGUGGAAGUGCACUCGAAACUGCAUAGCUAGAGUCCUGGAGAGGAAGGUGGAAUGCUUGGUGUAGAGGUGAAAUUCGUAGAUAUCAAGCGGAACACCGGUGGCGAAGGCGGCAUCCUGGACCAACAUUGACGCUGAGGAGCGAAAGCUAGGGGAGCAAACGGG
rnacentral:rRNA from 1 species